rnacentral:lncRNA from 1 species
CAUUUGUAUUAAUGUAUGCUAAACUCUUUUUCAUGGUAAAUGAGUAUCUUUCAAUUGUUUUUAUCAAAUAAUUUAAUAAAACUUCAUAAUACUCCUUAAAUCGAUGGAAUAACCACUAUAAAAUUAUUAUUUUCUUGAUAAACGGAGAGCACAAAGGCUCCAAACCUUUUUGAACAUUAUCAUAUGUUAGUUCAGGAUACAAUUAGGCAUUAAAAUAAUAUUGUCAUAUUUUUUGAAAUUUUCUCAAAAUCUAUGGGUUUAACCCCUACCAAAAUAUUGAGUUUUUGGUAAAUACUUUGUAUACUGAAGCCUAUAAUCUUUAGUGUUGUUUUAAAAUUUCUACCAUAUACUACAUUUGUAUUAAUGUAUGCUAAACUCUUUUUCAUGGUAAAUGAGCAUCAUUCAAUUGUUUUUAUUAAUUAAUUUAGUAAAACUUCAUAAUACCCCAUAAAUCGAUGGAAUAACCAAUAUAAAAUUAUUAUUUUCUUGAUAAACGGAGAGCACAAAGGCUCCAAACCUCUUUGAACAUCAUCAUAUGUUAGUGCAGGAUGCAACUAGGCAUUAAAACAAUAUUAUCAUAUUUUUUAAAAUUUUCUCAAAAUCUA